UACGAAGGGGGCUAGCGUUGCUCGGAAUUACUGGGCGUAAAGGGCGCGUAGGCGGACAGUUUAGUCAGAGGUGAAAGCCCAGGGCUCAACCUUGGAAUUGCCUUUGAUACUGGCUGUCUUGAGUACGGGAGAGGUGUGUGGAACUCCGAGUGUAGAGGUGAAAUUCGUAGAUAUUAGGAAGAACACCAGUGGCGAAGGCGGCUCACUGGUCCGGUACUGACGCUGAGGUGCGAAAGCGUGGGGAGCAAACAGG
rnacentral:rRNA from 1 species